CGGCUAUCGAGAACGAAAAAGUGGCGGGGCAUCCAGCUUCCGAACGUGCGUGAGUUAAGCAGCACAGUGUAGGAGCAGUCAGCGUUGCAGAGAGAGGCCAUUUUGUGAUUCUGAGACUUCCUGGUCAUUCUGGAGCAUCAGCAGCUGUACCUGGAUAUGAAUUGCACUGUGAUACAGGGAGAAACUGGAGCUGCCUCAUCAGUGCCAUUUCCGUGUUGUCAGAUCUCAGGAGAAGGACAGCAUGGAUGAAUUUGUGCAACAACCCUUCCAGCCAUAGAAGAUUAUAUCUUACAAGAAAAUCCACUGGUGACCUGUAAGCUUCACUGGCCAUUCCUCACCCACAGUGGUAAGCAGUCUUUUGAGAUCAGCAAGAAUCUUUUUGGUAUACCUGGAAACUAGUCUGAUUAUCUAAGUUUCUAAAGACAUAAUUUAGAACCCACCCUCUGUGGACUAAAGAAUCUGUUUAGUGCUUGUUUCUUGUCUUGGCUGUUCCAUGAUAGUGAGCUUUACCACUUGAAUUCACUGAUUGAAGUUUUAAGCUGAAUUUAUUUUAUUUCUUCUUUCAAAUUCUGUUACCAAAAUUCAGAGUAUUUUGCAGUCCAAAAACUGUUCUUUGCUUCAUCAAAGAUUUUAUUAAACUGGUCUGUCCCAUCCUCCUCACAGGACUGUAGUGAUGCGUAUCCUUGUAUGAUACAGAUAACAGGAAUUACGAGAUUGGCUCUGAAAUAAUAGGGAUGAUACUUUAUCCUCAUCUGCCAUCUGAAGGAAUUGGAGUAAAGGCUGUCAAUUACAGAUCUAAUUGACUAGCCUUACAGAUGUGCUGUGUUAGGAUGAAGACAUUUGGUUCUUAACAGACACAGAGCCCAAGCUUUCUCACUGCAUUUCUGUUACAUGUAAGGAUUAAUGCUGAACAACAGUGAUAACAGAUGAAUCCCAUCUGGUUUUCUGUUAUUUGUUAGUUCAAUUCAGUGUAUAACUACUCACAGUUUAGUCUGCCAGCCAAGGAAGGUAUGCAAUUAUCAACAAUACUGAUAGGACAAACCUGUUAUGUAAGCAUACUUUCAGAUCUCUCUAAAUUCCAUAAUAAAACUCUUGAGGUGAAAUGCACCAGCUUACAGAAUGAUUCAGCAUCAAGGAGAGGUGUGCUUCAGAGCUCUGGGUAGACUAAAUGUCCUUGCUGACUGAUCCCGUGCCUUCCAGUUGAUCUCCUUCCUGUUGCCUCUUUCAGGCAUGAAAUAUAGCAGGAUACUUACGAGAAGUAGAAACAAGAAAAACACAGAGUUGUAAGGAAGAUUUGUGUUUGGAAGACUGUGGGGGCCCAAGCAUGGCAUGCACUGUAUUUGGGGGUGGGGAGGGUCUCGUUAGUGUGACACCUUUGAGCUGUAACUUGUU